CAUCCAUGUGAUGGAGAGGAUCGGUAUCGUGCCUACCCAACUUGCUAUAUAUGCACUGUGCUUAAUUCAUCUCUGUACUCUUCAUCUUCUACACUUUCCACCGUUGUUGGUGCUUCUGAUAUUUUCUCCAAAUGGUUGGUGUGGAAUUCAAAUAACACCUUUUCCUUUCCACUGUUGCAUACACAAAUUUUUCCAAACAUAUAUAUUUAUAUAUACUCAAUAAUAGUUCAGUCUUUCAAGCAAUCCUUGCUUGAUUUCCUUAAUCCACAAUUCUUUCUUCUCACUGCACUGUCCCUAAUUUAAUGUAAAAUUCAUUUUGUUCAAGCUCUCAGAGCAACAUUGCUUGUUUUCUAUUUUUUCAAUCUCUCAAUUCUUGUUGGGUUUCUUUAAUCUUUGUUGAAAUGGGUAGUGUUGGGGUGUUGACCAAUUCAACAAUGAUUUGUGCUCCAUUGAUGAGUCAAUCUGUGGAGCAAAUGGUGAGUGACAUGAAUCAGGCAAAGGCACAAGGUGCAGAUGUGGUUGAGAUCAGGCUGGAUUGUAUAAAGGACUUCCAGCCAAGUCGAGACCUCCAAAUCCUCCUCAACAAUAAGCCACUCCCUGUUCUCAUUGUCUAUAGGCCACAAUGGGAAGGUGGUCAGUAUGGCGGUGAUGAAAACAUGCGGUUGGAUACACUUCGUUUAGCUAAAGAACUGGGAGCAGAUUAUAUUGAUUUGGAGCUCAAGGUAGCUUCUCAUCUAAUGGAGGAACACAAUCCAAAUAAGCGUAGAAGUAGCAAAAUAAUUGUAUCACGCUAUAUAGAUGGCACAACUCCUUCAGAAGAAGAUCUCAGUCAACUUGUUGCCCACAUGCAAUCAACUGGAGCAGAUAUCAUCAAACUUGUCUCCAAAUCAAGUAGCAUUACAGAGCUACCAAGAUUUUUUCAUUUGCUUUCGCAUUGUCAGAUACCGCUAAUCACUUACUCUAUCGGGGAUAGAGGUCUUAUAAGUCAAUUAUUGGGCCCAAAAUUUGAUGGCUUUUUAAUCUAUGGGUCUAUUGAAGGAAAUCCGGUGCCUGGUCUGCCUACUUUGCAUAACCUUCGACACGCUUAUGGAGUUGAUUAUUUAAAUGCAGAAACUAAAGUUUUUGGGCUGAUCUCAAAACCAGUGGGCCACAGCAAAGGUCCCCUUCUCCAUAAUCCUACCUUUAGACAUGUGGGCUACAAUGGAAUUUACGUCCCAAUGCUUGUAGAUGAUCUCGAGGAGUUUUUUAGUGUUUACUCAAGCCCUGACUAUGCAGGUUUCAGUGUAGGAUUUCCAUACAAGGAAACUGUAACUGCAUUUUGUGAUGAAGUCGAUCCACUUGCUCAGUCUAUAGGUGCUGUAAAUACUAUUAUAAGGCGGCAUAGUGAUGGGAAGCUGGUUGGUUACAACACAGAUUGUGAGGCUUCUAUAACUGCAAUUGAGGAUGAUCUGAAAGUGUGGGGAUGCACUAAUGGGGAAGUAUUGCUCCCAUCUCCGCUCACUGGGAAAAUGUUUGUGCUUGUUGGCGCUGGAGGGGCUGGAAGAGCACUGGCAUUUGGUGCUAAAAGCAGAGGAUUCCUGCAAAUAUUAGAAGACAAAGUACUAUUGAAUAUUGAUUACUAUUGUGAUUUGUAUUUUAAUACCUUGUACCUUGUUUUAUUUCAUUAUUUUAACACAUUUUCUGUUUUUGGUACCACUUAACCUUGCAAGUGAGAAUUGUUUCUCAUAUUUUCACCAUUGGGAAUGCAUCCAAAUACAGAUCGAAUUCCUGUGGCCAAGGGGACUUUGGGUGAUUACAAAGUUGUCUUUGAUGCCGUUUACAUGCCUAGAAAAACCACCCUGUUAAAAGAAGCUGAGGCUGCUGGAGCCAUCAUUGUCAGUGGAGUUGAAAUGUUCCUCCGUCAAGCCAUUGAACAGUUCAAUCUCUUCACUGGUGGGAAAGCACCUCAAGAAUUCAUGCAGAGAACUAUUUUCGCAAACUUCUGAUUCACCAUACAUAAUGUUGUGUAAACUUAAUUUAUCUAUAGUUUAUUGGCCAUCAAUAGUUUAUUGGUCUGGCCUACAAUAAACAACUUAAUAAUUCACAAAUAAGAAGGAUAAAUUAUUUACAAUGCAUUUCUCCUAUGAUUGUUGUUAAACUAACACACUACGGGGUGAUAAGAUGAUCAGUUUGGAAUUAAGAUUUUGCUUGUGGAUGACAAUGAAAAUUAUUGCCCAGUGUAUGGUGUGAAAAUUUUCGAUUCAA